CUCUCUCUCUCUCUCUCUCGUAAUCCUUCUCCUUCCUGUAUCUCUCGAUCUCUCAAUCAGGAACAAGGUAGGAGAUCCAAAAUCCAUGCAGAUCCCCCACUAUCGAUUUUGGAUCUGCUCCGAUGGUGAAGUUUCUGCUGGAGCAUCUGGAGAAAUCGAUUUUCGAUUUGCUCCGACGGUGAAGUUUCUGCUGGAGUAGUAUCAGUCCUAAUCGAGUUUGGAUCUGCUCCGAUGGUGAAGUUUCUGCUGGAGCAUCUGGAGAAAUCGAUUUUCGAUCUGCUCCGACGGUGAAGUUUCUGCUGGAGCAUCAGUCUUAAUCGAGUUUGGAUCUGCUCCGAUGGUGAAGAUUCUGCUGGAGCAUCUGGAGAAAUUGAUUUUCGAUCUGCUCCGACGGUGAAGUUUCUGUUGGAGCAUCUGGAGAAAUCUGGGUGUGGGAUAUUAGACGGGUCUUGCUGGGCCGUUCAUUGCGAGAAGAAGAUUGCCGGAGUAUACACCCGCCGCGGAUGGAUUCGUGCUGGCCAUCUUAGUGGUGAUUGCCACUGUAAACGUGAAUUUUUGCUGUGCCAAGAAGAUUCGAGAAUUGUGAACAAGCUCAGUUCAUUGAUCAAGACCCUUUGCAGCAGCAAGUGCAAUUUUCAUUCAUCCAUCAAAUUUGCAGCACCAAGUGCAAUUUUCAGUUCAGGCUCAGUUCACAGAGUACAGGGCUUUUCAAUUAAGAAUAGGUAUAUUAAUUUUAAUUUGUUUUUUUUUUAAUAUGAAAUUUUGCAGUCACCAUUGCUAGAAGAGAUGAUUAAUGUCUUUUUUUCCAGGUAAAUUUCCCUCUCCAUUUUCUUCUCCUUUUCCAUCAAAUUGUGUUUACCAAUUGCACAAUUAUAUUUUCCUUUUCAUGUCAUCGCAAUUAUGAUUUCCACUGGUUUGAUUCAUUUUUUCUUUCGAAGCUAUAAUUUUUGUUCAAGGAGCUCGAAAGAAAUUUAGUUUUGACACUCAUCUGAUCUUUGCUUGGAACAUUUUACCAUAAUUGAAAUCUAUAUUUUUGUUUUUGCAAUUUUUUUUUUCCUUCUAAGAAUUGGUUGGGUUGGUUUUAUUCUAAGAAUGACAAUUAGGAUCACAAUAGUGGUGUAACUUUGAAUAAUAUCAAGUUAUGAACAGAUAUAAAAUGGAACAUAAGUAGAGCAAAUGAACUGUAAAGACAUUUUGGUUGAGUUUUUAUUUUAUACUGUUUGGUACUUUGGUUUAAUAUGCAGCUGAUUUGCUAUAAAUGGGAGAAAAUGA